UCGGCUGGCCACUCUGUCGCUCUACCUGGGUAGGGAGGAAAGUCCGGACAACGCAGAGCACCACACCACCUAACGGGUGGGGCUUCCCGGUAGGGGGAGGUACAGAGCGUGUCACAGAAAAUUACCGCCUAAGCAGGGUUUCCUGCCGGUAAGGGUGAAAACGUGCGGUAAGAGCGCACGGCGUCUUCCAGCAAUGGAUGGGGCGGAUAAACCUUGUGGGUUGCAAUGUCACGUACAUCCUGAUGGUAUUAUCCUGCAGGUUGCUCGCCUGCAUUGGCUUCGGCCAGGUCAGGAGGGGUAGACAGCUUAGAUAAAUGACAGAGACGGAAUAUUUUUCCGGACAGAAUCCGGCUUACAGGCCAGUUAUCCUA
rnacentral:RNase_P_RNA from 1 species